GGGACUGAUUAUUUUGUGACUGAGUGGCGGACGGGUGAGUAACGCGUGGGUAACCUGCCUUGUACAGGGGGAUAACAGUUGGAGACGGCUGCUAAUACCGCAUAAGCGCACGGCAUCGCAUGAUGCAGUGUGAAAAACUCCGGUGGUAUAAGAUGGACCCGCGUUGGAUUAGCUAGUUGGUGAGGUAACGGCCCACCAAGGCGACGAUCCAUAGCCGACCUGAGAGGGUGACCGGCCACAUUGGGACUGAGACACGGCCCAAACUCCUACGGGAGGCAGCAGUGGGGAAUAUUGCACAAUGGGCGAAAGCCUGAUGCAGCGACGCCGCGUGAGCGAAGAAGUAUUUCGGUAUGUAAAGCUCUAUCAGCAGGGAAGAUAAUGACGGUACCUGACUAAGAAGCACCGGCUAAAUACGUGCCAGCAGCCGCGGUAAUACGUAUGGUGCAAGCGUUAUCCGGAUUUACUGGGUGUAAACGGGAGCGCAGGCGGUGCGGCAAGUCUGAUGUGAAAGCCCGGGGCUCAACCCCGGUACUGCAUUGGAACUGUCGUACUAGAGUGUCGGAGGGGUAAGCGGAAUUCCUAGUGUAGCGGUGAAUGCGUAGAUAUUAG
rnacentral:rRNA from 1 species